AUUGAACGCUGGCGGCAUGCUUUACACAUGCAAGUCGAACGGCAGCGCGGGCUUCGGCCUGGCGGCGAGUGGCGAACGGGUGAGUAAUGCAUCGGAACGUGCCCAGUCGUGGGGGCUAGCCCGGCGAAAGCCGGAUUAAUACCGCAUACGACCUGAGGGUGAAAGCGGGGGACCGAAAGGCCUCGCGCUAUUGGAGCGGCCGAUGUCGGAUUAGCUAGUUGGUGGGGUAAAGGCUUACCAAGGCGACGAUCCGUAGCUGGUCUGAGAGGACGACCAGCCACACUGGGACUGAGACACGGUCCAGACUCCUACGGGAGGCAGCAGUGGGGAAUUUUGGACAAAGGGGGCAACCCUGAUCCAGCCAUGCCGCGUGCGGGAAGAAGGCCUUCGGGUUGUAAACCGCUUUUGUUCGGGAAGAAAUCCUCUGGGCUAAUACCCCGGGGGGAUGACGGUACCGGAAGAAUAAGCACCGGCUAACUACGUG
rnacentral:rRNA from 1 species